AAAGAGUAGGAGGGAACCAAAUAACUGGCUUGUGACAGCCAAGCGUUCAUAGCGACCUUGCAUUUCGAUCCUUCGAUGUCGGUUCCUAUCGUACUGAAGCAGAAUUCAGUAAGUACUAGAUUGUUCACCCACUAAUAGGGAACAAGACCUCGAGGUUAGACCGUCAUGAGACAGGUUAGUUUCACCCUACUGCUUAAUACGAGAGGAGCCGUUCACUCGGAUAAUUGGUAUUUGGGCCUGCUAGAGUAGGCAAUGGCCCGAAGCUAUCAUCCGUUGGGUUAUGGCUGAACGCCUCCAAGCCAGAACCCGUGCUAGAACGCGACGAUUACCGCCUUUUCCGAUUUUUAGUUGAAUACGAAUAGAUCUUCGGAUCUUGAAUCAUACUACGUGGGGUUAUCUUGCGGAGCGGAAAGGCUUUGUGAGGUUCCUGCUAAUGUUAAUUUCAAAUAUUGGAAGAGAUAAAUCCAUUGCAGACGACUUUAAUUGAACGGGGUAUUGUAAGCAGUAGAGUAGCCUUGUUGCUACGGUCUGCUGAGAUUAAGCCCAUUGUUCUAUAGAUUU
rnacentral:ncRNA from 1 species